GACGGAGGAGGCUAGCGUUGUUCGGAAUUACUGGGCGUAAAGCGCGCGCGGGCGGCCAAGCAAGUCAGGGGUGAAAGCCCGGGGCUCAACCUCGGAACGGCCUUUGCGACUGCUUGGCUUGAGACCGGAAGAGGAGAGUGGAAUUCCCAGUGUAGAGGUGAAAUUCGUAGAUAUUGGGAAGAACACCAGUGGCGAAGGCGGCUCUCUGGUCCGGUACUGACGCUGAGGCGCGAAAGCGUGGGGAGCAAACAGG
rnacentral:rRNA from 1 species